rnacentral:rRNA from 1 species
AGAGUUUGAUCAUGGCUCAGGACGAACGCUGGCGGCGUGCUUAACACAUGCAAGUGGAGCGACGAACCAGGGCUUGCCCUGGGGCAGAGCCGCGAACGGGUGAGUAACACGUGGGUAACGUGCCCCAAUGAUCGGGACAACCCGGGGAAACCCGGGCUAAUACCGAAUGUGCUCCCCUCACACCAGUGAGGGGUGGAAAGGAAGCUUCGGCCUCCGCAUUGGGAUCGGCCCGCGGCCCAUUAGCUUGUUGGUGAGGUAACGGCUCACCAAGGCUGCGAUGGGUAGCUGGUCUGAGAGGACGAUCAGCCACACUGGGACUGAGACACGGCCCAGACUCCUACGGGAGGCAGCAGUGGGGAAUUUUGGACAAUGGGGGCAACCCUGAUCCAGCCAUGCCGCGUGCGGGAAGAAGGCCUUCGGGUUGUAAACCGCUUUUAUUCGGAAAGAAGGAGUGAGGGUUAAUACCCCUCAUGACGGACGGUACUGAAUGAAUAAGCACCGGCUAACUACGUGCCAGCAGCGGCGGUAAUAC